UAAAGAUUUUCAUGAGACUGGCGAUUGUGAUUUUGGCCCUGUACUGAAUAAUUUUGUGAGCGACUGGGUGAUGAUGAUUACAAGCCAGGUAACCGAAAGAGUCCUUCGGCCGCUGGCUAGCUAGCUGUUCUUAUCUUACUAUUAUAUGUCUUCCUCAGUAUUGACUUGUGAAUUAUUUCUAUUUUCGAACUAUGCAGGAGGACUGCAUGUGAUGAGUUAAGGCACAAGAACUACGACCAUUUUAGCUCCAGCAGUAAGUACACAACUAAUCAACAAUGCAUUUUCACGACCCAGACUUCUGCAUUCUGGCUGACAAGCUCGCUGGCACAGCCACAUAAUCUCAUGCAUUCAAAUUGCUAGCUACACGAAAUACGCCCAGAUCUACGAGUAGGAAUCCAAGAAUAGGAAGAACCAUACCAACAGCAUACAUACAUAUUACAGUUCUGCAUUUUAAAUUUGAAGACCAACGCAAAGCCCGAUCGAUGUAAUUGGAGGCAUUGCAGUCCAAUUGUUCUAGGGAUUGGAACCAGACGUGUGACUGAAUACUGCUUGGAAGAUGUGAUUCUGCAAAGUUGAGGAAGUUGAGGAAGUAUGGACUCAGAUCCUUUAAGGGUUUGUUUCCAUACUGUGGGGCAGCAGGAUCUGAGUCCCACUAUGAGGGAUCAACCUUCAUAGAUCAGCUACCGGCGUCAUACUGCCCCCACAAGGUAAACCCGCCAUUUAUCUGGGGUCCCAAAUUGCAGUGUUUGUCUCUCUUCAUUUGUUAUUAGUCUCUGCGAUUUCAUUCUUUAGCAUCUGAUGUGGUAGACCGUUUAAUCAAGUUUCGUGGAUAGUCUAGCUCAUGUGUUUGUGAUCUAAGUGGUGCCACAUGUUUCUUCAUGAAGCCUCACAAGAAAGUUAGAUUCUUCUCCAUAUCUUCAAAUUGGCUGUUUAUUGAUGAGCUAGGUUGACUUGAGCCGUCUUCUGCAAGUGCUCAAUUGCAACCUUAAAACCAGUCGCAAAAUUGUUUUGGUCCA